UACGUAGGGUGCAAGCGUUAAUCGGAAUUACUGGGCGUAAAGCGUGCGCAGGCGGCUAUGCAAGACAGAUGUGAAAUCCCCGGGCUCAACCUGGGAACUGCAUUUGUGACUGCAUAGCUAGAGUACGGUAGAGGGGGAUGGAAUUCCGCGUGUAGCAGUGAAAUGCGUAGAUAUGCGGAGGAACACCGAUGGCGAAGGCAAUCCCCCUGGACCUGUACUGACGC
rnacentral:rRNA from 1 species